UAAAGCUGAAACUUCUAUAUGUAAGGCUCUCAAUUUAUUAUGUAAAAGUAGUGCACAAUAAAUCAUAGGUCUGGUACUCUGUAUGAUUUCUAUUUCUACAUAGCUAAUUACUAAUGUCAGAUUAAGUAUGGUCUGUUCAAGGUUUAUUGAUGCCUUGGACAUACUCUUUUUGUUACUACAUGGCUAGAUUGAAGUUUGAGAGCACAAAAGUACCUCCAGGAUUCAUUUUUCUAUAAUAUCCAUAUAGCAUUUGUUUUGCCAUCCUAGGAGUGCCUGGAAAUUUUAGUAGUUUCUAUUUUUCUAUUCUAUUGAUGAUUUGAUUUUUAUGUUAUGCCCAGGUGUACAGUAAUUUUCUUACAACAUAUGCCUUUCUAAGGCUACCAAAUAAUAAAGCAAUUGAGCAUUCACAGCUUUCUGAUUGCAGAGAUGGACCACUAAGGUGCAAAAAAUACCUGCACUGGAAGUGUUUUGUGUAGCAGAAUUCUUGUUCAUAGCCUGUAAGCAUGCUAUGGCAGCAUGUAGAAUGCAGCCUAUGUGUUGGUUCUUGGUUAUCACCCUGAAUGUAGCAUCUGUGUUGGUUGCUUCCUUUUAUUUUGUGAACCCUAGAAUGUAACUUGAGGCUGGAACUCAAUCUAUUUACAGUUUUAGCACUGCACAAUUAUAUGUAUAUAUCUGUGAAGACUAAUGGUGAUUGUCUGAUAUAUUUAUGAAGACUAAUGAUAAUUGUCUUAUGUGAUGACCAUAUAAUUUGAACUGUUAAACUACCUUUUCUUAUAUAUGUCAAUUGACAGGGAAGCCAGCAGCCAGACCAGUUUCUAAACACUCCAAAGCGUUUGGUGAGGCUAUCUCUUAAUUGCGGCAAUAUGAUCAAGGUGCUCAUGGUGGCUAUUUUUGUUAGUGAUAAAAGAUUUAGUUGUCCGAGCAAAUCAUACGAGUUAUGUGUUGUACAAGCAAAUGUCUUAGUUUUGUAGGUACUUGAGUGUAGCAUGGUUAUUGUCUUAGUAUUUCGUGUGAAAUAUUGUACAAGUACAAAUGUUGAUAGUUUUAAUGAAAAUGAUGAGCAAUAUUUGUCAA